rnacentral:rRNA from 1 species
CCUACGGGCGGCUGCAGUGGGGAAUAUUGCACAAUGGGCGCAAGCCUGAUGCAGCCAUGCCGCGUGUGUGAAGAAGGCCUUCGGGUUGUAAAGCACUUUCAGCGGGGAGGAAGGCGGUGAGGUUAAUAACCUCAUCGAUUGACGUUACCCGCAGAAGAAGCACCGGCUAACUCCGUGCCAGCAGCCGCGGUAAUACGGAGGGUGCAAGCGUUAAUCGGAAUUACUGGGCGUAAAGCGCACGCAGGCGGUCUGUCAAGUCGGAUGUGAAAUCCCCGGGCUCAACCUGGGAACUGCAUUCGAAACUGGCAGGCUAGAGUCUUGUAGAGGGGGGUAGAAUUCCAGGUGUAGCGGUGAAAUGCGUAGCGAUCUGGAGGAAUACCGGUGGCGAAGGCGGCCCCCUGGACAAAGACUGACGCUCAGGUGCGAAAGCGUGGGGAGCAAACAGGAUUAGAUACCCUUGUAGUC